rnacentral:rRNA from 1 species
ACGCUGGCGGCGUGCUUAACACAUGCAAGUCGAACGAACCUUCGGGUUAGUGGCGGACGGGUGAGUAACGCGUGAGAAUCUGCCCUCAGGAGGGGGAUAACGGUUGGAAACGACCGCUAAUACCCCAUAUGCCUACUGGUGAAAUGAAUUUCGCCUGAGGAUGAGCUCGCGUCUGAUUAGCUAGUUGGUAAGGUAAUGGCUUACCAAGGCUUCGAUCAGUAGCUGGUCUGAGAGGAUGAUCAGCCACACUGGGACUGAGACACGGCCCAGACUCCUACGGGAGGCAGCAGUGGGGAAUUUUCCGCAAUGGGCGAAAGCCUGACGGAGCAACGCCGCGUGAGGGACGAAGGCCUCUGGGCUGUAAACCUCUUUUCUCAAGGAAGAAGAUAUGACGGUACUUGAGGAAUAAGCCACGG